rnacentral:rRNA from 1 species
GACGAACGCUGGCGGCGUGCUUAACACAUGCAAGUCGAACGGAAAGGCCCUGCUUUUGUGGGGUGCUCGAGUGGCGAACGGGUGAGUAACACGUGAGUAACCUGCCCUUGACUUUGGGAUAACUUCAGGAAACUGGGGCUAAUACCGUAUAGGAGCUCCUGCUGCAUGGUGGGGGUUGGAAAGUUUCGGCGGUUGGGGAUGGACUGGCGGCUGAUCAGCUUGUUGGUGGGGUAGUGGCUUACCAAGGCUUUGACGGGUAGCCGGCCUGGGAGGGUGACCGGCCACAUUGGGACUGAGAUACGGACCAGACUCCUACGGGAGGCAGCAGUGGGGAGUCUUGCACAAUGGGCGGAAGCCUGAUGCAGCAACGCCGCGUGCGGGAUGACGGCCUUCGGGUUGUAAACCGCUUUCGCCUGUGACGAAGCGUGAGUGACGGUAAUGGGUAAAGAAGCACCGGCUAACUACGUG